rnacentral:rRNA from 1 species
UGGGGAAUAUUGGACAAUGGGCGCAAGCCUUAUCCAGCCAUGCCGCGUGAGUGACGAAGGCCUUAGGGUUGUAAAGCUCUUUCGGCGGGGAAGAUAAUGACGGUACCCGCAGAAGAAGCCCCGGCUAACUCUGUGCCAGCAGCCGCGGUAAUACAGAGGGGGCAAGCGUUGUUCGGAAUCACUGGGCGUAAAGCGCACGUAGGUGGAUAGUUAAGUUCGGGGUGAAAUCCCAGGGCUCAACCCUGGAACUGCCUCGGAUACUGGCUAUCUCGAGUCCGGAAGAGGUGAGUGGAAUUCCUAGUGUAGAGGUGAAAUUCGUAGAUAUUCGCAGGAACACCAGUGGCGAAGGCGACUUGCUGGACUUAUGGUGACGCUGAGGCGCGAAAGCCAGGGGAGCAAACGGGAUUAGAUACCCAAGUAGUCCCUGAGCGGGCUGGCAAGGCGCAU